GAUGAACGCUGGCGGCGUGCCUAAUACAUGCAAGUCGAGCGAACAGAUGAGGAGCUUGCUCCUCUGACGUUAGCGGCGGACGGGUGAGUAACACGUGGAUAACCUACCUAUAAGACUGGGAUAACUUCGGGAAACCGGAGCUAAUACCGGAUAAUAUAUUGAACCGCAUGGUUCAAUAGUGAAAGACGGUUUUGCUGUCACUUAUCGAUGGAUCCGCGCCGCAUUAGCUAGUUGGUAAGGUAACGGCUUACCAAGGCAACGAUGCGUAGCCGACCUGAGAGGGUGAUCGGCCACACUGGAACUGAGACGCGGUCCAGACUCCUACGGGAGGCAGCAGAAGGGAAUCUUCCGCAAUGGGCGAAAGCCUGACGGAGCAACGCCGCGUGAGUGAUGAAGGUCUUCGGAUCGUAAAACUCUGUUAUUAGUGAAGAACAAAUGUGUAAGUAACUAUGCACGUCUUGACGGUACCUAAUCAGAAAGCCACGGCUAACUACGUG
rnacentral:rRNA from 1 species